rnacentral:rRNA from 1 species
AGUGAACGCUGGCGGUAGGCCUAACACAUGCAAGUCGAACGGCAGCACAGGAGAGCUUGCUCUCUGGGUGGCGAGUGGCGGACGGGUGAGGAAUAUAUCGGAAUCUACUCUGUCGUGGGGGAUAACGUAGGGAAACUUACGCUAAUACCGCAUACGACCUACGGGUGAAAGCAGGGGACCUUCGGGCCUUGCGCGAUUGAAUGAGCCGAUGUCGGAUUAGCUAGUCGGCGGGGUAAAGGCCCACCAAGGCGACGAUCCGUAGCUGGUCUGAGAGGAUGAUCAGCCACACUGGAACUGGGACACGGUCCAGACUCCUACGGGAGGCAGCAGUGGGGAAUAUUGGACAAUGGGCGCAAGCCUGAUCCAGCCAUACCGCGUGGGUGAAGAAGGCCUUCGGGUUGUAAAGCCCUUUUGUUGGGAAAGAAAUCCAGCUGGCUAAUACCCGGUUGGGAUGACGGUACCCAAAGAAUAAGCACCGGCUAACUUCGUGCCAGCCGCCGCAGUAA